AUUGAACGCUGGCGGCAUGCCUUACACAUGCAAGUCGAACGGCAGCACGGGAGCAAUCCUGGUGGCGAGUGGCGAACGGGUGAGUAAUGUAUCGGAACGUGCCCAGUCGUGGGGGAUAGCGUAGCGAAAGCUACGCUAAUACCGCAUACGAUCUGUGGAUGAAAGCGGGGGACCGUAAGGCCUCGCGCGAUUGGAGCGGCCGAUAUCAGAUUAGGUAGUUGGUGGGGUAAAGGCCUACCAAGCCGACGAUCUGUAGCUGGUCUGAGAGGACGACCAGCCACACUGGGACUGAGAAACGGCCCAGACCCCUACGGGAGGCAGCAGUGGGGAAUUUUGGACAAUGGGCGCAAGCCUGAUCCAGCAAUGCCGCGUGCAGGAUGAAGGCCUUCGGGUUGUAAACUGCUUUUGUACGGAGCGAAAAGGCUCUCUCUAAUACAGGGGGCUCAUGACGGUACCGUAAGAAUAAGCACCGGCUAACUACGUGCCAGCCGCCGCCGUAACAC
rnacentral:rRNA from 1 species